rnacentral:rRNA from 1 species
AGAGUUUGAUCCUGGCUCAGCGCGAACGCCGGCGGCAUGGCUAAAACAUGCAAGUCGAACGAGAAGCGGGCUUCGGCCCGUGGACAGUGGCGGAAGGGCGAGUAAUGCGUUCUUUACGUACCCUCAGGUGGGGGAUAGCGUCGGGAAACUGGCGGUAAUACCCCAUAAUCCGGCAACGGCAAAGGUUUACUGCCUGAGGAUCGGAGAACGUCCUAUCAGCUUGUUGGUGAGGUAAAGGCUCACCAAGGCAAAGACGGGUAGCGGGUGUGAGAGCACGACCCGCCGCAUCGGGACUGAGACACUGCCCGGACUCCUACGGGAGGCUGCAGUAACGGAUAUUCCGCAAUGCGCGAGAGCGUGACGGAGCAAUGCCGCGUGAAGGAUGAAGCCCCUCUGGGGUGUAAACUUCUGUCAGGGGACACCAAGAUCUGAGGAUCCCCAAAGGAAGGGCCGGCUAACUUCGUGCCAGCAGCCGCGGUAAUACGAAGGGCCCGAGCGUUGCGCGGAAUCACUGGGCUUAAAGGGUGCGCAGGCGGGAUGGAAAGUGUUUUGUGAAAUCCCUCGGCUCAACCGAGGAACUGCUUGACAUACUUCCAUUCUUGAGGUCGACAGAGGCUGUCGGAACGAUAGGUGGAGCGGUGAAAUGCGUAGAGAUCUAUCG